rnacentral:rRNA from 1 species
AUGUGGUGGCGCGAGGUGGGGGUCGGCAAUGAGGCGGCUAUGCUGCAUGAGGCGGUCAAGUCCGAGGCUGCACUGGGGAGGCACGUGCGGUGCCUGCCCCAAGAUCCCGUUGGGGCAAGGCAUGGGCGGCACCCACCCUCCCUGUUAUUGCCCCGCGGGGUCAGGCUGCCCCUCUUCCCAGAGGUCAAUGCCGAUCAGUGUGCUUCUGGUUUCUACAGUAGCAGAGGCGACCAGGAGGGCACGUAUGGGGUGUGUACAUUGAAAGGACCACUACGAUCAUGCUCGAUUCGCUUCGAGCAAGACCAUGGCGUCAAUUCCAAUGCCAUCUGUGAGAUCUCCCUCUUCAAGGAUGCGCAACAUCCAAACAUGGUUAGUACUGCAACCCUCUUGUCUUCCUCUCCCUCCCUGCAUGGUGGUCGCUGUCAGCAUCAGCAUCAAGGUUUUGGGUGCCUUUCGUCCCUCUUGUAUGGAUGGAUAGGUUGGUGUGUUUUGUUCUUUCUUUCUUUGUUGCCACGUAGGUUGCAAGAGGAGGUGCGCACCUGCACAAUGAAAAGUGCAUAUGCCGACUCAUCCCGGAGACCAGAACUUCAAAUAUAUAGACACAUACACGUAGUCAAGGAAGAUGCUAACAAAAAAAUUGAUUUGAUUUUAUUUGGCUUGUUUAUCAAUUUUCUCUUACUAUUUCCUAACAUUUCCUCAGUUUGGCCCUGA